CAGCCAUGCCGCGUUGUGUGAAGAAGUGCCUUAUGGGUUGUAAAGCACUUUAAGCGAGGAGGAGGGUACCUUAGUUAAUACCUAAGAGUAUGCGGACGUUACUCGCAGAAUAAGCACCGGCUAACUCUGUGCCAGCAGCCGCGGUAAUACAGAGGGUGCAAGCGUUAAUCGGAUUUACUGGGCGUAAAGCGUGCGUAGGCGGCUAAUUAAGUCGGAUGUGAAAUCCCCGAGCUCAACUUGGGAAUUGCAUUCGAUACUGGUUAGCUAGAGUAUGGGAGAGGAUGGUAGAAUUCCAGGUGUAGCGGUGAAAUGCGUAGAGAUCUGGAGGAAUACCGAUGGCGAAGGCAGCCAUCUGGCCUAAUACUGACGCUGAGGUACGAAAGCAUGGGGAGCAAACAGGAUUAGAUACCCUGGUAGUCCAUGCCGUAAACGAUGUCUACUAGCCGUUGGGGCCUUUGANGCUUUAGUGGCGCAGCUAACGCGAUAAGUAGACCGCCUGGGGAGUACGGUCGCAAGACUAAGACUCAAAUGAAUUGAC
rnacentral:rRNA from 1 species